UACAGAGGUCUCAAGCGUUGUUCGGAUUCAUUGGGCGUAAAGGGUGCGUAGGCGGUGAGGUAAGUCGGAUGUGAAAUCCCGGGGCUCAACCCCGGAACUGCAUUCGAUACUGCUUUACUUGAGGACUGGAGAGGAGAUUGGAAUUCACGGUGUAGCAGUGAAAUGCGUAGAUAUCGUGAGGAAGACCAGUGGCGAAGGCGAAUCUCUGGACAGUUACUGACACUGAGGCACGAAGGCCAGGGGAGCAAACGGG
rnacentral:rRNA from 1 species